UUUUACUAGUUUUCAUUUUAGAGUUUUGGUUUGUUUAUAUAAAAUAUAUAUAUAUAUUUUUUUUUGGUAAGUGAAGAACUUGGCUUUGUAAUGAAAUAUUGCUCAUAACUGACUCCUGUUCUGACAGUUGCAUUGCCUAAUCAAGAAGGACUGCUCUGGCCGGGCAUCAUGUGAUGUGUAAUGAAGCUAGUCUUGUUGAGUAACACUUCCUCUGUGUUUGUUAAGCUAAGCAGAUGUGUGAGAAGAACCUGUUAAGGAAAGCUUAUAGUGAAGCACCUCUUCAGGUUUGCUUCCCACAAGUGGAAUUGCUUAAAUGAGUGAAGGUAACGUACGCCAAAUCUGUGCUCUCCUGAGACCGAGCAUGCUAUAUCUGCAGGUGGUUAGGAACUGGCACUGAAAAGGGUUGUCCUCUGUAUAUUCUUGAUAGGAAGAAGAGUUCAGCCUACCAGGGUUUGUCCUCCCUGCCAUGGUUAUUAGUCUGGGUCUGCCCCUUUCUCUCUCCCCUCUUCAAUAGUACACCAUAACAGCAAAGGUUCUGUAGUUGCAGUGAACAUGAGAAGCCAGGGUUGGUUGUAAUAAGGAGAAUGAGACCAAAAUAUUCAAUUUUAUCUUCAGGGAAGGUGAAGGAGUAUGCAACUACAUCAAGUGGCAGAAAUAAUACUUUUUUGAAAAAUAACUUCUCCACAGGACAGAAUCUAGCCUGCUUCCUAGCUGAUGAUUUCUUGUGCCUUUAAUAUCUCUAGCUGACUACAUCUCUGCUGCUUCUGAACAGGCUGUCCUAAAGCUGCAAGUCGUAUUCCCCUCUUGAAUUGGAUACAACAGCCAUACUCCUUUUAGUCAUGGACUCUUUCAAGUGAAAGAACAGAUUCGUGUUGCACAAAGCCUGAAAUCUAGAACCAUCCUGUGUAAAUAUAGGUUUUCAUUGAACCUCUACUCUGAAAACAUUCUUCAUGGAUCAUACUGUACUGAUAAUUUUGGAAAAUGGGUGUAGGGGAGGAAGAAUCCUGUUUGUCCCUUACUUGAUGCUAACAGUUUGGAUCAGAUAUCAAGCACAUGCUAAGUGUUAUGCUCCUCACUUGACAGUAACUAACUCUUAAUGAAAGCAUGUAUUAGCUGUUAGGAUUCUGUUGUCCUUUCAACAUACCUUUUUUCCUAAGCUGAGCUCUUAGGGUGCCUGUAGAAGUGCCCAGAAGCUGCUCUAACAGACUGUAAUUAAUAGAGUCUGCUGGAGGAUGCUAAUUAACACACUUCAGCCAGCCUCUGCAUCUCAUGCAUCAGCAUCCCCUGCUUCAAAAUCAGCAUCCCUGUGGUGGGGGUGCUUUAACUAAAGCUUGUUCAAAGCUUUUACACAUGCCCCCCAGAGCAUGUUUAAAAAUGCCCUUGGAUACUGAGGUGGUUACAAAUUGGGGUCUCUUAUCUAGGCUGUUUUUUUUUUUUUUGGUUUUUUUUUUUUUGGCUGUCAGCAUUUAAAACAAACCAACCGAUACCAGCUUUAUGCCUGAUGCUACUGUGUUUUGGCUGUAAACUUUAAGGAGAAGUUUUUAAACUAAAAGAAAAUACAAAAAAUGGAGUCAACAGUUCUUAUAAAAUGUAAAGUGUUAGUUGAUUUCUGAAAUUAAAGAAUAGGGCAUUGGUGUCUGGGCAUGUCUGAAGUAGCUGAAUAAAAUCUGGAUUUAUUUGAGGUUCUCCUCA